rnacentral:tRNA from 1 species
GCCGGGAUGCUGGAAUUGGUAGACAGGAUAGACUUAGGGUCUAGUGUGCAUUAUGCGCGUAAGGGUUCGAGCCCCUUUCCCGGCA